rnacentral:rRNA from 1 species
GACAGAGGGUGCAAACGUUGUUCGGAAUUACUGGGCGUAAAGCGUGCGCAGGCGGUUUUGUAAGACCGAUGUGAAAUCCCCGGGCUCAACCUGGGAACUGCAUUGGUGACUGCAAGGCUUGAGUGUGUCAGAGGGAGGUGGAAUUCCGGGUGUAGUGGUGAAAUGCGUAGAUAUCCGGAGGAACACCAGUGGCGAAGGCGACUUUCUGGCCUGUUCUUGACGCUGAGGCGCGAAAGCUAGGGGAGCAAACGGG